UGAGCCAAAGCCAGACGCUUAACCAGCUGAGCCACCUAGGUGCCCCACCCCAACUCCAGAGUUUCUGAUUAAGUAGACAUUGGUUGGAGCCUGAGAAUUUGCAGUUCUAAUAAAUUGUCAGGUGAUACUGAUUUGCCAGUCCAGGAAUCACACUUUGAGAAUCAUUGAUCUAAGCUGUUCUCCAAAAGAACUACAAAUAACCUAAGAGGUUGAAAUUUAUAUCUACUGUCUUUUCCCUGAACUCAGAUAAAAGUAUUUUGUUUGGAGUCUGUUGUUCAUGGAAGAAAAAAAAGAAAAAAGAAACCUAAACUGAGGUACAUGCCUGAGAGUGCUAAAGAGGCUCUCCACUCUUUAACACCUCACCUGGAAUCUCUCUAAUUUCUCCCUUGUCUCCACCUGUGUAAGCCAUUAAAUGUUCCCAGCAUCCUCCCUCCUCCGGCUCCACCCCUGGGGCGUCACCCAGCAGCAUCUUCACCAUCAGGUAGCCUCCUAGAAUCCAUUGUCUUUAUAGUGUUCUCACAGAGGACAUCCAGGGCAGAUGUGGGCAAGAGGACCUGGUGUUUGCUGUGAUCGCAGGCCCCUUGUGGUGCCCAGACUGUGCUCCCUUUCAUGUUAUUAAGGGUGUGGACAGCUUACGCCAAAUCUGAGGACUCACUCCCCCACCCUAUACACACAGCUAGUGAGAAGGAAAAAGAAAAAAAAUAGAUCAUCUAUUUCACAAAUGACCUGAAUAAUCCCUAUUCUAUUAUACAUUAAACUGUAUCCACUA